rnacentral:rRNA from 1 species
AUGAACGCUAGCGACAGGCUUAACACAUGCAAGUCGAGGGGCAGCACAGGUAGCAAUACCGGGUGGCGACCGGCGCACGGGUGAGUAACGCGUAUGCAACUUGCCUAUCAGAGGGGGAUAACCCGGCGAAAGUCGGACUAAUACCGCAUGAAGCAGGGAUCCCGCAUGGGAAUAUUUGCUAAAGAUUCAUCGCUGAUAGAUAGGCAUGCGUUCCAUUAGGCAGUUGGCGGGGUAACGGCCCACCAAACCGACGAUGGAUAGGGGUUCUGAGAGGAAGGUCCCCCACAUUGGUACUGAGACACGGACCAAACUCCUACGGGAGGCAGCAGUGAGGAAUAUUGGUCAAUGGCCGAGAGGCUGAACCAGCCAAGUCGCGUGAGGGAUGAAGGUUCUAUGGAUCGUAAACCUCUUUUAUAAGGGAAUAAAGUGCGGGACGUGUCCCGUUUUGUAUGUACCUUAUGAAUAAGGAUCGGCUAACUCCGUGCCAGCAGCCGCGGUAAUACGGAGGAUCCGAGCGUUAUCCGGAUUUAUUGGGUUUAAAGGGUGCGUAGGCGGCCUUUUAAGUCAGCGGUGAAAGUCUGUGGCUCAACCAUAGAAUUGCCGUUGAAACUGGGGGGCUUGAGUAUGUUUGAGGCAGGCGGAAUGCGUGGUGUAGCGGUGAAAUGCUUAGAUAUCACGCAGAACCCCGAUUGCGAAGGCAGCCUGCCAAGCCAUGACUGACGCUGAUGCACGAAAGCGUGGGGAUCAAACAGGAUUAGAUACCCUGGUAGUCCACGCAGUAAACGAUGAUCACUAGCUGUUUGCGAUACACUGUAAGCGGCACAGCGAAAGCGUUAAGUGAUCCACCUGGGGAGUACGCCGGCAACGGUGAAACUCAAAGGAAUUGACGGGGGCCCGCACAAGCGGAGGAACAUGUGGUUUAAUUCGAUGAUACGCGAGGAACCUUACCCGGGUUUGAACGCAUUCGGACCGAGGUGGAAACACCUUUUCUAGCAAUAGCCGUUUGCGAGGUGCUGCAUGGUUGUCGUCAGCUCGUGCCGUGAGGUGUCGGCUUAAGUGCCAUAACGAGCGCAACCCUUGCCACUAGUUACUAACAGGUAAAGCUGAGGACUCUGGUGGGACUGCCAGCGUAAGCUGCGAGGAAGGCGGGGAUGACGUCAAAUCAGCACGGCCCUUACAUCCGGGGCGACACACGUGUUACAAUGGCGUGGACAAAGGGAAGCCACCUGGCGACAGGGAGCGAAUCCCCAAACCACGUCUCAGUUCGGAUCGGAGUCUGCAACCCGACUCCGUGAAGCUGGAUUCGCUAGUAAUCGCGCAUCAGCCAUGGCGCGGUGAAUACGUUCCCGGGCCUUGUACACACCGCCCGUCAAGCCAUGGGAGCCGGGGGUACCUGAAGUCCGUAACCGCGAGGAUCGGCCUAGGGUAAAACUGGUGACUGGGGCU